rnacentral:lncRNA from 1 species
AGCAAUCAGCGAGACUCCGUGGGCAUAGGACCCUCUGAGCCAGGUGCGGGAUAUAAUCUCGUGGUGCACCGUUUUUUAAGCCAGUCUGAAAAGCGCAAUAUUCGGGUGGGAGUGACCCGAUUUUCCAGGAGAGACAAAUACCAAGGAGAUAUCAGGAAGAAUAUUGUCCCCAGUAAAUACCAAGUCACAUCAGGAAGAAUAUUGUGGAGAGAGAGGUAAAGAAUCAGGAUGGAAACAGAAAAUAGGCCGAACAAUGGCCAAGCGUCAAAAUCCUACGUCAGGACAGUGCUAGGACUGCUUUUUUCUAUAUCAGACACGUGGGCUCCUGCUGUGUCUUCCUGGAAAGCAGAGGCCAAGGAUGGAGCAGACCAAGAGGAUGCCAGGAAAAAUCACAAAGAAGCCCAGAAAGCACAGCUGGAAGCCAAGAACCCUAUUUUUGGUUUGUGUGGGUGGAAGGUGAGGGACAACAUAUAGUGACCAACAGGAUUCUUCAUUUGAAAGAGAAUGGAGUACAUCAGACCUGUGUAUUUAGGUGAAGUAUGAUAA